rnacentral:rRNA from 1 species
GACGAACGCUGGCGGCGUGCUUAACACAUGCAAGUCGAACGGCAAGGCCCUGCUUUUGUGGGGUGCUCGAGUGGCGAACGGGUGAGUAACACGUGAGUAACCUGCCCUUGACUUUGGGAUAACUUCAGGAAACUGGGGCUAAUACCGGAUAGGAGCUCCUGCUGCAUGGUGGGGGUUGGAAAGUUUCGGCGGUGGGGGAUGGACUCGCGGCUUAUCAGCUUGUUGGUGGGGUAGUGGCUUACCAAGGCUUUGAAGGGUAGCCGGGCUGAGGGGGUGACCGGCCACAUUGGGCCUGAGAUACGGCCCAGACUACUACGGGAGGCAGCAGUGGGGAAUAUUGCACAAUGGGCGGAAGCCUGAUGCAGCAACGCCGCGUGCGGGAUGACGGCCUUCGGGUUGUAAACCGCUUUCGCCUGUGACGAAGCGUGAGUGACGGUAAUGGGUAAAGAAGCACCGGCUAACUACGUG